rnacentral:rRNA from 1 species
AUUGAACGCUGGCGGCAGGCUUAACACAUGCAAGUCGAGCGGGGGAAGGUAGCUUGCUACCGGACCUAGCGGCGGACGGGUGAGUAAUGCUUAGGAAUCUGCCUAUUAGUGGGGGACAACAUCUCGAAAGGGAUGCUAAUACCGCAUACGUCCUACGGGAGAAAGCAGGGGAUCUUCGGACCUUGCGCUAAUAGAUGAGCCUAAGUCGGAUUAGCUAGUUGGCGGGGUAAAGGCCUACCAAGGCGACGAUCUGUUGCGGGUCUGAGAGGAUGAUCCGCCACACUGGGACUGAGACACGGCCCAGACUCCUACGGGAGGAAGCAGUGGGGAAUAUUGGACAAUGGGUGGAACCCUGAUCCAGCCAUGCCGCGUGUGUGGAGAAGGCCUUAUGGUUGUAAAGCACUUUAAGCGAGGAGGAGGCUACUUUAGUUAAUACCUAGAGAUAGUGGACGUUACUCGCAGAAUAAGCACCGGCUAACUCUGUGCCAGCCGCCGCAGUAA